rnacentral:sRNA from 1 species
GAUAUCAGGGGCAAAAGAUCAAAAAGCCGUUCGUGCUUGCACGAUAAGGCGUUUGAACUUGGGACCCGCCGAACAUGAGGAAGUAACGAUUUACGCAGUAAAUCAGCGGAUUCCGAAUGUUCGAGAAUUGCGGGAGCAGCUUUGCUGCGGAGCAAUUCGUAGAUAUC